UCUAGUUAGUUGUAACCAGGAAGGAAGCAGCCUUCCAUAUUUAUUUAUUUAGUCAAAUGUGAUAUGUACAGUACAGAGACAGAGGCUGUAUAGAGUUUUUAAUACACCAGGUACAAUUCUUAUAAACCAAUCACACUGUUCUUAUUACAUAAGUCAUUGGGAAAACACCAUAGAUAGUACCUAAUUACCGUUUAUAAAAGAUGACAAGGAACAGUCAUAAAAAUACAUCGUGUAGGAUUACUAUUUUUCUCUCAUGAUUAAAACAAUAGCUUUGUGGCAGGCAAAACAAUGCAAUCAAUGUGUCAAUAAGACAGACGACACAAACAAAGGUCUUAAACGCAUAAAAUAAAAAAAUGAAUGAAAAUGUGCAUGACGUAAUAUUUGCUAUACAAAAAAAAUAUAUGACUUGUUGGAUAUGGCAGGCACUUGAUCCACUUCUAAGUCUAACGUGUGGAACACUGUGGAAACAUCAAGCACCAAAACCAGCUGUUUGGUUAGAAUAUUCUCCCCCUUCCCCCGACUCCUCCUCCUUACAACCCAGAAAAGACUUAGAACCACAUUAAAAAGCAGAGAAAGGAGUAAUACGGUAGCAAUAUGUUUGGAACGGAGGGCAAUAUCACUUAUUGAGAAGCAUAUAAAACUAUGGUGAGAGAGUGUGAAAGAGAGGAAAAGAGGCAAACAGACAGAGAGAGAGAGAGAGAGAGAGAGAGAGAGAGAGAGAGAGAGAGACGAAGAGCGAAAGAGAGAGAAAGCAAGAGAGGGAGCGAUUCAAAAAUUGCGAAAGAGAGAGCGUGAAUAUGGAAGUAUGGAAAUGUCAAAUGUGCCUUUUCUCCAGCCCUGGUCUGUUCCAGCGGCUCAGUGGAAUACUUCUGAGGAAGCAAUAGAAUACAUCACCAGUCGGGUCAAUCUACCCUUACAGACUGCCUCGUUCACACCUCCCACUUGUCUUAUUCGCUUCACUCCUCUCCUAUUGCCGUUUCACUGACACCUAUUGUUUCAACCUCUGCCAAGGUAUAUUCAAAGACAUGGGAGGCAUCACAUUACAGGCACUGUUAACAGUACACCCAUACGCACACACCCACAAACCCACCCAACCAAACACACACACACACACAUUCUCACCCACACACAGAUGAGAAAAAAAUAUGGCAAUGGUAGUUAAAACAUGAAUUACGACAGUAUUGACUACUUAUAAACGGUAGUAGAAUGAAAUGAAAUGAAACAGAGAUUGUUUUUUUAGCUGGGCCUCGGAAAAGACAGACAGUCAUGCUGUGAGGCUGUAUGUGACGCUGUUUAGGAACGUUGUAGUGAACAGUAUGUGGUUUCCCGGUAACCAACUUAAUGAAAAAUGUGGAGCAGCAGUCAGUCGGAUGGGUCAGGACAGACUGGUUACAGACUGGCUUUAGUUACAGUGACUCAGCCAAGGCAACGGCCAAACAGUCAGGCAGAAACACCAUGGCACACACACACACACACACCCUAACCCUCCCACUCUACCUCUAACCCAUCCACCACCACCCCCUCACUAGCGCCGCCCAGACACAACACAGAUACAUGUUUCAUGAGCUACAUCAAUUAAUAACCCAACCCUGACCUCGUUUAUACUGAUGAAUCCCCCAGACGACAGGAGUUCAAAUCAAGUCAAAACAAAUGUAUUUAUAAAGCCCUUUUUACAUCAGUAGAUGUCAAAAAGUGCGUAUACAGAAACCCAGCCUGAAACCCCACAGUGAAAUGAGAUCUAAAGGUCUACCUCUGGUUGAGGAGGAGAGGAGGAGAACUACAAAAGAAAGGAGAACAAAAACAAGGCUAGAGGAUAAAAUGUGUUUGCUAGAGAGAGAGAGAGAGAG
rnacentral:lncRNA from 1 species